rnacentral:rRNA from 1 species
CUUAAGAGUCGUGGCGUACGGGUGAGUAAAGCGUAGGGAUCUGCCUUGUAAAAUGGGUGUUCUUAGGGAAACUUAGGAUAAUACCGUAUAAGUUCGAGAGAAGAAAGCCAUGCGCGAGUUGGGCGCUAAUAGAUGAACCUACGUCGGAUUAGCUAGUUGGUGGGGUAAAGGCCUACCAAGGCGAUGAUCCGUAGCUGGUCUGAGAGGACGGACAGCCACACUGGGACUGAGGCACGGCCCACACUCCUACGGGAGGCAGCAGUGGGGAAUAUUGGACAAUGGGCGCAAGCCUGAUCCAGCGAUGCCGCGUGUGUGAAGAAGGCCUACGGGUUGUAAAGCACUUUCGGUAUGGAAGAAGUUAUUGUGUUGAACAUGCAUGAUAAUUGACGUUACAUACAUAAGAAGCACCGGCUAACUCUGUGCCAGCAGCCGCGGUAAUACAGAGGGUGCGAGCGUUAAUCGUGAAUUAC